rnacentral:rRNA from 1 species
AUUGAACGCUGGCGGCAGGCCUAACACAUGCAAGUCGAACGGUAACAGGAAGAUGCUUGCUUCUUUGCUGACGAGUGGCGGACGGGUGAGUAAUGUCUGGGAAACUGCCUGAUGUAGGGGGAUAACUACUGGAAACGGUAGCUAAUACCUCAUAACGUCGCAAGACCAAAGAGGGGGACCUUCGUGCCUCUUGCCAUCGUAUGUGCCUAGAUGGGAUUAGCUAGUAGGUGGGGUAACGGCUCACCUAGGCGACGAUCCCUAGCUGGUCUGAGAGGAUGACAGGCCACACUGGAAGUGAGACACGGUCCAGACGCCUACGGGAGGCAGCAGUGGGGAAUAUUGCACAAUGGGCGCAAGCAUGAUGCAGCCAUGCCGCGUGUAUGAAGAAGGCCUUCGGGUUGUAAAGUACUUUCAGCGGGGAGGAAGGGAGUAAAGUUAAUACCUUUGCUGAUUGACGGUACCCGCAGAAGAAGCACCGGCUAACUCCGUG